rnacentral:rRNA from 1 species
UACGUAGGCAGCGAGCGUUGUUCGGAUUUUCUGGGCGUAAAGGGCGCGUAGGCGGCCUUCUAAGUCGAACGUGAAAUCCCUGGGCUCAACCCAGGAACUGCGUCCGAUACUGGAAGGCUUGAAUCCGGGAGAGGGAUGCGGAAUUCCAGGUGUAGCGGUGAAAUGCGUAGAUAUCUGGAGGAACACCGGUGGCGAAGGCGGCAUCCUGGACCGGCAUUGACGCUGAGGCGCGAAAGCCAGGGGAGCAAACGGG